CACCACCACCACCACCACCACCUUAGAGAAAUACCGGCCUACUCACGAUAUAUCACGAUAUGGACUUUCCAGCCAAAACAAUAUCAUAUCUGAGCACGUUACUUAUAACUCACUAAGUAAACGAAGCCUUUUUCGUUACGCAAUGCAACCUUGAAGAGGCUAGUUCUAAUGAGAAAUAGCGGAAGCCUAUUUCCUUAUUCAACCACAUUUUUGUUAUUUUAUUUAUUCAAUAUUGAAAGGCAGGUUAUGUGAUGAGAUCUCAAAAUAACCAUAAAAAAUAAAGUUCUAUAUACUUUAUUGACUAAAUUCACAAAACAAAACUAUCAUAAUCUUCCUCAAAUAAACCGAUGGAAAUAGAUGCUUCCGCAAACAAAAGACAAGCACUGCUUCUUCUGAAUUCAACUUUACACAUUGAGUAACACCGUAGCUUUUUAUCAUGUUAAUUAUGAAGAUUUAUAUUUUAUGAGUAGCAUGCAUAUGACCGUGUCUUGCCUCUUAAUUAAAUCUACUUUGGCGUUUAUUGCGUUUUCGAGGAAACUACCGCGAAUGGACGCCGUAAACACACAUUAGCUUCUUGUAUUUGUAACUGCAAGACUAUACGAUUAGCGAGAGGGUGCUCCACAGUGACUAGGUGGGUAUUUUAAAAGGGUGCAACUUUGGUAAAAAAAGAAUUAAAACUUAAAAAAGGUCGAAACCCUGUCGAGAACCGUACUUGCCCUUAAAAAUGUCGAAAAUAAUUUUGUGAGCUCUAACUACGAUCAACUAGAGGAUGCACGAGUCUAUGCCAACCGAAAAGGCCGAGUGUAAGUCAAACUGAGCAUUUUUUUUUUUCAAACACGAUGUUACUGUUAUUUCUUAAUGCAAUAUUUUUAUUCAAACAAAUUUGCGGGGAGCUAUGUUCGUUAUGAUGUGUUGCGAAGCCGCAUAUUGAGAUAACGUGAACCGAAAUUAGGAAACUCCAAAUAAAAUAGGAGCGGCUGCCCUCCGGCCAUAUAAUGAAGAAUCUUGAGUGCGACAUGUCACGAAAAUGCUGAGGAAAAUAAGAGUACGGAAAAGCUUUUUUAAAUCAUGGGCAAUGUCAGAAACCAAUCGUACACCAAAAAAGUUGUGAAUUGUAAGAGCUUUUGUGUAGCUUCAAGCUGUAUUUUAAGUGAGGGCUUAGUUAUUGUUGUAGAGAACGGAUUUUUUUUGCGUGAAAUCUUACUUUUGAUGGUGUUACAUGCAACGCAUGAGCAACGAAAAAGACUCGUGUUAAUGGAAACAAUAGUUAUUCUUGUUGAAUUAGCUCACAAUUAAGCAAACAAUAUCAUCAACGUAUUAUGGCUCCAGUCUUCAUAGAAAACUGGAAAAGCGCCACGUCAGUUUAUAGCCACUCUCUUGUAAAUUUGCAGACAGAGAGGUUGUUAAUAAUAUAUAUUAAAAAGGACUCUUUUGAGAUGCGAGCUUCGGUACAUUAAUCAUUGUAAAGCGUUAGGGUCAAGGCUGCUGUCCUUGUGGUUAUAUUCCCACCAAGCGUCAAUCUACCUUUUAGCGAAGAUUUCAUUUUUUGGAUUCCCCGUGGAGAUAGCACUUUUUAAUUUCUUAAGAAAUUAUACAUGUCAGAGGAUGGAAGUAAUCUUUGUCUGUAAACUUUUAAUCUUUGAACUUAAGAAGUUUACCCAAUAGGAUUUUCCAGGAGUGUUUAUUCUUUCUAAGAUAUUCGGCUCAAAACUGCGAAACAAUGUUUGUGGGCAAUUAAUGAUUGGGGGGAAAUAAAUGUAUGCCAUUUAUCUAAGACAGAACAUAGAAAAUCUACUAACAGAUAAGCAUCAAACAGCCAGUCAUUCUAAAAACAUCCAGCGUAGUGGAAAAAUGCUUGCUAUAUAAAUGAAGGUUGAAUAUAUUUAGAAAUGAAAAAAUAAAAUAAAGUAAAAAAUGAACUGCUAUCUGUAGGGAAAAGGCCGAAAUACUUUUCCAUCUUCCUACUAUAUCCAGUUAAAAGUGUUUGUCCAUGACCGCUGACAAAAUUACGAUCUUAUAUUUUGGUGACGAAAUCACCACUCCCGUAUUUAUCACUGUUGGGAAGACUAACAUUAUCAUUGAUCUUAAAUGGGGGGCCCUUAAAUGGCCAGUCCACCUCUUUGAUGCCUACAUAAUGCAUUCCGGAAAACCCUGUCAACUUGUAGUUAGCUAGUAACUGAACUCUCUUUUGACACCAUUUUUAAAGUUGAUUUCACAUUUUUGUCAAUAUUGCAUUCACGUGUUCAUUUUUGGGUAUUUUUUAAGUAUGUUUCCAUAGCCAGAUAGAUAAAGUUCUCAUAUAGCACCAAUUUAGGCUAUAUCCAUGCAUGUUUUUAGCACAGUUAAAAAAAGAGCAAAUUGAUGUGAUAGGGGUAAAGGCCUACCAAGGGAAAAGUCGACGGAUCAAGUGAGUCAAGUCAACGGGUCAAACAAUGGAAUGAAAUCAAAGGGCCAAUCAAUAAGACCAAGGGAAAAAAGAAAUAAAAUUAAAAGACUAAGUUAUAGAGUCAAAAAAUGAAAAGAAAGUCAACAAGCUAAGUCAAACCUCCACACAAGGACAUAAAAAGUCUAAGGGAUAAGUCCAAAAGUCAAUUUGAUAAGUCAAUUUAAAGAAGUAAGUCAAAAGGCAAAGAUACACGCCAAAGCACCAAAUCAAGCAACAAGUCAGAAGGUACCAAGUCAGAAGAAAAGGAUUCAAAGUUAGAAGUCAGAAGGAGUCCAGUCUAAAGGAACCAAAUCAGAAGGGAACAAUCCAGAAGGUGUCUAAAACAGAAAGGACCAGGUCAGAAGAGAAAAAGUCAGAAGGCCCUAAGUCAGAAGGGAGCAUUCCAAAAGGGGGCUAAGACAGAGGGGUCAAAGUCAGAAGGGGUUCGUCAGAAGGGACCAAAUCAGAAGGGACCAAUCCAGAAGGUGUCUAAAACAGAAGAAACCAGGUCAGAAGUGAAGAAGUCAAAAGGGACCAACCCUUCCCUGAAUAGCAAAGCCGUUCCAAGCAGGUGUGGGCCACAUAGUGAUCCAAGGCCAAAGGGCCAAAAGGAAAGGCAGGAAAGCGGAGAAAAUUGCGUGCAGCAGCAAGAAUUUGCCGCGCGUCGAAGUGAUAAACGCCAACCGCACAUUUUAACAAUUAACCCUGACGCCAAAAUAUGGCAAUAUAUGGCUGUGAAAGGAAAUCUCUUUGAAAUGAUGUAUUGCACAAUUGAGACGCAUCGCACGGGGGAGAAAAUGAGCGUGAUGGAUGACACCACACCACGCAAACUAUAAUGAACCACUGAGUAUAGUUCUUAAAAAUAUUAAAACGAAUAUGAAAGUUAAUCGCCAACGCCUUAAUAUACAUUCCUGAUCUAAAACCGUCUUUUAGAAUGAUUUUACAGCAACGCAGGCCUAACUCAAUGUAAAUUUAUGAUUUUUGUCGUAGAACAGCUUGUGGCUUUAAAAAAGUGUCUUCGAAAUUACAAUCGCGAGACGACUAAUUCAAAAAUCCGUAACACAUAUCUACAUCAUGUAAAGAGCAAAUUUAAUUUUAAGUGGGGCAUCGCUUAUUCAUGAGCAUCGCUUGUGAUAAACGGUAGUAAGGAUGAUGUAAUUCCAUGUAAAGCCAAGCACGGAUGAGCACGUUUUUCUCUUAAACGAACAGCACAUGAAACGUGCUUGCUCCGAGUAUUCGCUAAACCAAUUUAAUUCCCAUUUAAAAACGCUACAUUAUCAAUACAAUAAACAUUGAAUGCGUAGUUUGAAACUACUUUUUAGUACGAGUAAACCAUCUUGCUACUGCAAUGUAACUCGGUUUACUCGAAUUCUCAAGGAAAACAAAAGUAAGUCCGAGUUAACGGGAAGUUGGAAAAAUCCGAGUAAAAAUGACUGAAACUCACUCUCUAAGGAGCUUUGAGUUCAAUUCGAGUUCGUGGGAAGCUCGAGUUAUCGGGGUUCCGCUGAGAAAUAAGAAAUGUAUUACACUCUCGAAGCGAUUGAGCUAAAAGCUAUUCAUAAUAUUCAAGAAAAUGCAAAAGCUAAACGUGAUAUAACGAAACGCGAGAUCGCCCACUUCUUGCGGCGUUUUUUAAAUGUAAUGCGUUUUCUUUAUGACCUUUCGAUUCAUAUUUGUAUGGUUCUAAGCGGUGAGAAUUCUCACGAAUAUGUGACGGAAGGAACCCGUGACAGAUGCCAGGUUGUAAGGCGAAAAACAUAUAUCGCGUCGUUUAAGUUUAUCAUUAUUAUGUUCUAAUUGCGCAAUGGCAGAGCGAAAUUGAAAUGAUAAUGGGGAGUAUACAGUAUAAAUAAGAUA